rnacentral:rRNA from 1 species
GGAUUAGUGGGAACGGGUGAGUAAUACGUGAGCAAUGUGCCCUUGACUCUGGGAUAAGCGCUGGAAACGGCGUCUAAUACCGGAUACGACCCUCGGAGGCAUCUCCUGAGGGUGGAAAGAACUUCGGUCAAGGAUCAGCUCACGGCCUAUCAGCUUGUUGGUGAGGUAACGGCUCACCAAGGCGACGACGGGUAGCCGGCCUGAGAGGGUGACCGGCCACACUGGGACUGAGACACGGCCCAGACUCCUACGGGAGGCAGCAGUGGGGAAUAUUGCACAAUGGGCGCAAGCCUGAUGCAGCAACGCCGCGUGAGGGACGACGGCCUUCGGGUUGUAAACCUCUUUUAGCAGGGAAGAAGCGAAAGUGACGGUACCUGCAGAAAAAGCACCGGCUAACUACGUGCCAGCAGCCGCGGUAAUACGUAGGGUGCAAGCGUUGUCCGGAAUUAUUGGGCGUAAAGAGCUCGUAGGCGGUCUGUCACGUCUGCUGUGAAAACCCGAGGCUCAACCUCGGGCUUGCAGUGGGUACGGGCAGACUAGAGUGCGGUAGGGGAGAUUGGAAUUCCUGGUGUAGCGGUGGAAUGCGCAGAUAUCAGGAGGAACACCGAUGGCGAAGGCAGAUCUCUGGGCCGUAACUGACGCUGAGGAGCGAAAGCAUGGGGAGCAAACAGGCUUAGAUACCCUGGUAGUCCAUGCCCGUAAACGUUGGGAACUAGAUGUGGGGACCAUUCCAC